ensembl:lncRNA PVT1 Pvt1 oncogene
ACAUGGGCCCGCGGGCCGGGCGGGCUCGGGGCGGCCGGGACGAGGAGGGGCGACGACGAGCUGCGAGCAAAGAUGUGCCCCGGGACCCCCGGCACCUUCCAGUGGAUUUCCUUGCGGAAAGGAUGUUGGCGGUCCCUGUGACCUGUGGAGACACGGCCAGAUCUGCCCUCCAGCCUGAUCUUUUGGCCAGAAGGAGAUUAAAAAGAUGCCCCUCAAGAUGGCUGUGCCUGUCAGCUGCAUGGAGCUUCGUUCAAGUAUUUUCUGAGCCUGAUGGAUUUACAGUGAUCUUCAGUGGUCUGGGGAAUAACGCUGGUGGAACCAUGCACUGGAAUGACACACGCCCGGCACAUUUCAGGAUACUAAAAGUGGUUUUAAGGGAGGCUGUGGCUGAAUGCCUCAUGGAUUCUUACAGCUUGGAUGUCCAUGGGGGACGAAGGACUGCAGCUGGCUGAGAGGGUUGAGAUCUCUGUUUACUUAGAUCUCUGCCAACUUCCUUUGGGUCUCCCUAUGGAAUGUAAGACCCCGACUCUUCCUGGUGAAGCAUCUGAUGCACGUUCCAUCCGGCGCUCAGCUGGGCUUGAGCUGACCAUACUCCCUGGAGCCUUCUCCCGAGGUGCGCGGGUGACCUUGGCACAUACAGCCAUCAUGAUGGUACUUUAAGUGGAGGCUGAAUCAUCUCCCCUUUGAGCUGCUUGGCACGUGGCUCCCUUGGUGUUCCCCUUUUACUGCCAGGACACUGAGAUUUGGAGAGAAUCCUGUUACACCUGGGAUUUAGGCACUUUCAAUCUGAAAAAAUACAUAUCCUUUCAGCACUCUGGACGGACUUGAGAACUGUCCUUACGUGACCUAAAGCUGGAGUAUUUUGAGAUUGGAGAAUUAAGGCCAACAGAGAUUUUGAGAAACACAUUGAAGGAUCUGUUAACACUUGAUAUACCCAAUAAAAGCAGUGGUUGUGCCAGUGCUGAUCUGUCUUGAUGUGAAUGUGAACAAUGGGAACCUGAGCUGAGCAGUUAAUGCUAGGGUGACAGAAACUGGACCUCUCCCAAGACAUGUGACAGAGUAAUACAGCAGCCAACUUCUUCGCCAAAUUAAAGUUUUACAAGAUUUAACCUGUCAUCAAGACCUGGGAUUUUGGUGAUCUUGGACAUGAUACCUGGAUGUGCAGCAGCCAUCUGGUAAUUAUGAGGUGACAAGUCAAUAGACUGAGAUGGUGGAGCAGCAAAGAUAGAAAAGGUCUGGAUUUUUUAUAGCAUUGUUGAACUGUUCCAUCAGCCUAAGACAGUUGACUAUCUCCAGACUUCUUGUUAUGUACAACAUGUCCUGUUGUUUAAGUCACUCUAACUUGGAUUGUUUCUUAUUUUCAGCUGAAAUUAUUUCUAAUAGAUAUACAGAUUUCCAACAAAGCACAGUGUAGAGCAGCUUAACAUGGUACCUAUGUGCCAAAGUUCCAGAGCAAGAGUUCCUGGGUUCUAAUCUUGGCUCUGUGGCGUGACUUUAGACAAGUCACUUAGCUUCUCUGUGACUCGCUUUUCUCAUGUAUAAAAUGCUCAGUAACUGUGUAUUGACUGUUGAAUAAAGGAUAAUAGUGAUACUGAAUUCAUAUGAUUGUUAGGAUCAUCGAAUGGCUAAACAUUUUAUAAAAUGAUUAGAACAUCGCUUGGCGCAUUGUAAUUGGCUGCAGAUGUGCUUGUCAAAGUAAAAUUAAAAGAAAAGUAGUCAC